AGAAUGACUGGGAAUUAACCUCAUCCCCAAAAGCUGUUGGCCCGGGGCGAGACAUUUCCAUUGCACAUCGGCUUGGUUGACUCCUGCGAUCGUCCCAAAUGUGGACGACUCGGGUGCGCAAUUUAUAAGUGUGGGUGACUGCGUUCGUGCUCUCCUUAA